rnacentral:rRNA from 1 species
GAUGAACGCUAGCGACAGGCUUAACACAUGCAAGUCGAGGGGCAUCAUGAGGUAGCAACACCUUGAUGGCGACCGGCGCACGGGUGAGUAACGCGUAUGCAACCUGCCCGAUACCGGGGUAUAGCCCAUGGAAACGUGGAUUAACACCCCAUAGUACUUUUAUCCUGCCUGGGAUGGGAGUUAAAUGUUCAAGGUAUCGGAUGGGCAUGCGUCCUAUUAGUUAGUUGGCGGGGUAACAGCCCACCAAGACGAUGAUAGGUAGGGGUUCUGAGAGGAAGGUCCCCCACAUUGGAACUGAGACACGGUCCAAACUCCUACGGGAGGCAGCAGUGAGGAAUAUUGGUCAAUGGACGUAAGUCUGAACCAGCCAAGUCGCGUGAGGGAAGACUGCCCUAUGGGUUGUAAACCUCUUUUAUAAGGGAAGAAUAAGUUCUACGUGUAGAAUGAUGCCUGUACCUUAUGAAUAAGCAUCGGCUAACUCCGUGCCAGCCGCCGCGGUAA